rnacentral:pre_miRNA from 6 species
UCUUUUGGAUGAGCAAAGCAAGUGGUUUCUUGAGAUGGAAUCUACUUGUAGUGAAAAUGCUAUAAA